AUCAUCAUCUUCAUCAUCGUCAUCAUCAUCAUCUUCUUCAUCUUCAUUGUCAUCAUCUUCAGUGUUGAUCUUUCCAGAAAGCACAUCCUCAAUCCAGUCUUCCAGCUCCUCCGCUGUGGGUAGAUCAUCGUCAUCUAAAAUCUCCAUCCAGACACUGUCAGCCUGUAGUGAGGGACAGAGUGAAUGGGCCGACACAGUCCCUGGAUGGAGAGCCGUAACCAAGGGACCGAGCCCUCUCUGUGUGUGUCUCACAGAUUCAGCGCACGAACCUGUAUUGAACACCUGUGAAGGAGCUGGUGCAUGCUAGUUACCAGGCACCAUUCCCGAGAGCCCAGAGCAGGUCCUGAAGGAGCAAACUGGAGGAAGAUAGCAGGAAAUCUGUUGUUCCAGACCAGAGCAGCCAUUGUUUUAUUAGAAUAUCUGAACCCACCCCAGCAUAAAAGCCAUGAGCACUGCUCACCAACUGCCUUGCUCCUCAAGAGGCCACUUUCUGAUGACGUUUUACUUGUAUUUGAUUA